CUCCUACGGGAGGCAGCAGUGAGGAAUAUUGGACAAUGGGCGCAAGCCUGAUCCAGCCAUGCCGCGUGCAGGAUGACGGUCCUAUGGAUUGUAAACUGCUUUUAUACGAGAAGAAACACUACUUCGUGAAGUAGCUUGACGGUAUCGUAAGAAUAAGGAUCGGCUAACUCCGUGCCAG
rnacentral:rRNA from 1 species